rnacentral:lncRNA from 9 species
AAGAACUACAAAAUCCUCAUGUCCCGACGUAUCACGUUACAACCCUGAAACUGUAGUGAGGUUUUCAGGCGGCAUUCAUUAACUUGAGCAAUUGCAUUUCUUUGGAAAUGGACGUUACUUAGGUAGCUUUUAGACACAAAUACUGGCAAACUAAGAUAUUACCUGCAUUUCCCUUAUGAUGCUAAGAAAUCUUGUUUAGAAAUACAUGCAUGAUUGUGUGUUUUCUCUCAGCUAGGAUGAUGGCUCAGUUCAAGGAUGAUUGGAGGAGAGAACAGUUGCAGAAUGAAGGACCUCAGGAAAAACAUGAUGAUCUUCAAAAGAAACUCAAUCAAGUCCAGAAAGAAAUGGGUAAAUUUUUUGACAUUUUUUAACAGAUGUAGUUCUUUAAAACAUCUUUUCCCACCGUUUCUCAACAUUCCCUCCUCCCUGCUCCUGUCCGCCCUUUCGCUUCUUGUGGGUUUCACGUUACCCUAUCUUCUCUUUGACGUCCUGAGGUCCUCCCACAUCACAUUCCCUUCCCACCAUCUCUCUGGCUGUUUGUUAUUCCUUCCAGUCUCUUCCUUGCUAUACACCCAGGUGGUGUUCUACCUCCCUGGUGAUUACCCUAAUUUCAUGAUAAGGUUGGUGAGAUGAUGAAGAUUCGCUUAAGGUGAGUGUGGUCAUUGCCAUUCGAGAGAAGGCUUCCUUUCCCUUGGGUUCUCCAAGUGCUCUGAGGUGGAGUGCCUCUUGCUUUACAGAUGAUCGCGUUCUGGCUUUUAGGGGAAGCAUUCAGACUCCAAAGCUGUUGCAUGAGAUGAGUUCCUUCUUUGUUGACUGGGUAAACACUGUGUACACUGAUGUCAAGCGUACUCUUGAAACGAGCCAGUCCGCUUUGCUUGACCCUAUUCUCAAGGGAUAUUGGUAAUAGUUUUGCAUGACAAUGUGGGAUUUUUCCUUUUAAACAACAAUGAUUACUCUCCUUUCUUUUUUAUUUUAAUUCAUUUAAUAAUUACUCCAACACAUUUCUCUUCCUUCAGGGUCUUACACAUACACUUUUCCGUCAAUCAAAUAAACGUGAUUGACAAUAUAUUUCCGGCGUCAGUGGCUGUUUUCUAAGAUAACCCUACAUCAUUUCUGAGAGCCAUGGGAGUGGUCCAAGAAAUGGCAAAAAGACAAAAAUAAAAUAUAAUAAAAUAAAGUAACAGUCUUUUCCAUAAGGAAAUGUUCCAAUUAUUAUUCUGUUUUCAAAUGGAUAGUAUUGAGGAACAUUUUUUAAAGGUCUGUAGCUGGUUUCUUAGGACGACUGCUACACAUUGUUUGGACAAAUGGAUGCUUUCUCUCCUUGCUUUCUCAUCCAUCUCUCUCUCUCUCUCUCUCUCUGAUAAGUACCUCUCUUGUGUAUGACUGUAUAUUUGCAAUGUAUUCUGAGAAGGUAGAAAGUCCAGUGCAGAACCCGUGACGGACCCCACUCAUCCCAGGGGAAGUCCUUUUCUACCUCCUACCAUGCUGUCACUUCCAGUCUUGGUUCCUCUGACUCACCAAGGGGUGAGGGGAGGUAAAACAAGCUUCCUCUGAUUUCUGCAAAGGCUUUAAGCCUUCAAGAAAGUUGGGUCAGGUCAAACCACAGAAAAAAGCCUGGAUGGUUUGCAAAUGUUUUGUCCUUAUCUCAUCCUCCCUUAGGUCCUCAUUUUCAGUGGUUUUUGAGUGUUUUCCCUUUUAUGUUAGCAGUAAUAAUGAAUAGAAAAGCCUCCAGCCCCAGUAAUGCCCUUCCCUGUCUACCUCAUCAUCGUUUCAUGUUUUUCCAUCCUUACCCAUGAUAACCAAGUGCCCCAGGUAAAACAUGUUACUUCACUUUGCCUGUUGUUCUAAUCAAAAUCCAAGCCUACUGAUUGUGUCAUUUUGUGUAUCUUAAAUUUCUGAAAUGUCAGUUCUCCCUGAUGUAGGCUGUUGAAAAUUUAGAGCAAUCUUCAGUUCCACAAAAUACUUCUUUUUUAUUCCUUUUGUGUUACUAAAUUUUAGAAUGAUUAGUUUUCCUCCCCGGAAGUUACUUGAGAUGCCAUUAUUAGCCUUUUUUGUUUUGUGGGCCACACCCACGGCACACGGACUUUCCCAGGCUAGGGGCUGAGUCAGAGCUGUAGCCGCCAGCCUAUACCACAGACGCAGCAAGGCCAGGUACCAGCCACAUCUGCGAACCACACCACAGCUCAUGGCCACGCAGGACCCUUAACCCCCUGAGCGAGGGCGGGGAUGGAACCUGUGUCCUCCUGGAUGCUACUCACAUUCUUCCCACUGAACCACAAGAAUUCCUCCCUUCUUUUUUUUAAAGUGAGGAAGUAUUGCUUAAAGCAUGCAUGUAUAGUAAAGUUAUAACUUGGUAAACUGAUUUCUGCAUUAAUAAAUGCUUUCAUCUAUUGAACAGAGCAGAUAUUUAAGUGUGACCACACAGUGAUUCUACCAAUGCCAGAGAGAUUUCCUCCAACAAUGUCAUAGGACAAGAGAAAGUGUGUAUAGUACCUAAAAGCUGGAAUCCUUAAAUCAUAAGGACUCCUAAGUACUCUCUUUUAAUUAAAUGUCAGUUCUAUAGAUGAGCUAAUCUCUUGAAAUUUGCACACAAGUUCUGUAAGGGCCAUCAGUAAAGCCUUGAGUCAUAUUAUAGAGAAGAGAUAAAACAAGUGCACAGUUUUCUAACACUUUGCUCUUAUACUUGUACCAUUUGUUUUUCUUUACUAACUUAUUGCUGAAAAUUAUAUUUGCCCCAAAUACAUGCGUCAGUCUCAACAUCCAUUUUAUUCCAUUUCUUCACUCUUGGAUUAUGAAAGAUUGGUGUGCUGAGACAUUCCUCACUCCCGUGUAAGUUAACAGGAAUGGAAAGAAUGUGAUUAGAGCCAUGCUCCUUAGCUCUUUGACUUUCUUCAUUAGAUGAUAAACAUGAGGUAAUUUUGAAAGCACUAUUGAAAACUAAAUUAGUUUUUCUUACAGUUGUGUUAAAUAAAGAGAAAUAGAAACCAAAGUCUUCGAAAGCCAUGACCCAGAUGUCAGUCAUCCCCUUUCUCAGCUGCUGUGGCAUCUUCCAAAAAGACCUUUUCAGGACUAAUGCAUGUGUUUCACACUAUUGUAAAAAGAGUGCUUUCCCUGAAAAGCAUCUUGUUCAAUGUGGCAUAGUUGGAAACACUUUCAAAAUGAAAAAUCAAUUUCAAUCCACUCUACCAAAAUAACAUUUGUUGUAUAAUUAUUUAUUAAAUAUGCAUUCUGUUGUCAAUUUUGAAUUAUUAAUCCCACACCUAGAAAUUUUCUUCCACUUUCCCUGUUUUUUUUUUUUUUUUUGAUUAUUUCCUCACAUUUACAUGAGUCUUUUUUUAAUUUAUCUUUCAGGAGCACUUCAGGAUGAGAUUGGUAACUUUUUCUGGUGUUUUUUUUGGUGGGGAAGAAGAAUAUUCCUAGAAAUAUUCUCUUUGUUUCUUGCCUUCCUUUGCUAUUACUUUCAUUUACUGUCUUCCAGAUGAUUACCAUGAUUUCAUUGUAAGGUUUGUUAAUGAAGGAGUUGGGCAAGAAGAUGUUGUUAUCUCUGAAAUAAAAAACAUUCUUUAAACUGGGUUCUCUAACGUGUCCUCUGAGAUGGAGUGCCCACUGUUUUGUACCUGAUAUUGUCCUGAUUUUUAAUGUAAACGUUCAGACUCCAAACUUGGUUAGAGAGAGAAGUUUUUCCUUUUGAUUUACACACUUUUUCUCCUGUAGUUGACUGACGAGGCCACUUUCCUUGAACAUACCCUCAAGUGAUCUACUGUCUGUAAAUAUGCUGUACUGAUUCUACCUGCUUAAUUUCUCUUUCCAACCUUAGCUCUACUUAUUCGUUUUUAUUCUAAUACACUCAAACAUGUAUUCAACAAAUUUCUCUUCCUUCAUGAUAUUUUUAUAUUGAUUUUUCUAUCCGACUUCCUUGGUAAUGUAUCCUUAUAGUCUAAGGCUAUCUUAUGAAGAAUUCUUAAACUCUUUUUUAGUACUCUACAUGAAUAUUUUAUGUUCUCAUGUACCUACAUAUCAUGUAGUACUCCUAAAAUUGAAGGGAACUUUUUAUUUAGAAUGGACCAGAAAGAUUUCUCAUUAUUUUUAAAAUGUGAAUUACUUGACCAACAUGCAGAUAUAACCAUUAGCAAUGUAUGGCUUUAAUUGCAUCUUCCUCAUGAAGUCAAGAAAUCCUCUCAUAUCUGUGGGUGUUUUGUGUUUUCUCUCAGCUAGGAGGAAGGCUCAAUUCAAGAAAGGUAAGUAAAUGGUUGUCUCUCAGAAAGCUUCCUUCUUCCAUCUCUCUUGGGUCCUGUCCCUGUAGCAGUAUGAGAGAAUGCAGGCAUAAAAAUUAAAAUGUCUAUAUUGGGCAAAGAAGCCUUUGCUUUUCUUUCUCUAAAUUUCUGUAAUGAAUUCUCUCUGAAGUGUAAAUGAGGAGUGAUUCAGCAUGUUCUGCCCCCCACCCCGUCCUCUUUCCUUUCUUCCUGUCUUUAUCUUAUGCUCCCUGCUUUGUGUUCCACCUCUGUCCCUCCCACAUUUUGUUGCUUCUGUAUUUCUACCUAUGUCUUAAACCUGACCAUUUUAACUUAUUAUCUGUAUCUUAAACCUGACUGUUUUUAUUUAUCAUGUUUCUUAAAAUGCAAUACGGAGGUAAUACAGGAUAGAAAGAGGAAGUAUGAGGGAUUCAAGAGAGGAAAAGGGAUAAUGACAGGGAGCAAUGGAAAAGAUAACAGGAGUAAAUGGAGAAGGAAAAAAGCUAAAGGUUUCCUAUGUUUUCUUUUGCAGCCUGGAGGGAUGCUCCAUUAUAUCCUGGUGAGUAACAUGGAC